rnacentral:rRNA from 1 species
GACGAACGCUGGCGGCGUGCCUAAUACAUGCAAGUUGAGCGAUGACGCUUGGUGCUUGCUCCAAUUUGAAGAGCAGCGAACGGGUGAGUAACGCGUGGGGAAUCUGCCUUUGAGCGGGGGACAACAUUUGGAAACGAAUGCUAAUACCGCAUAACAACUUUAAACAUAAGUUUUAAGUUUGAAAGAUGCCAUUGCAUCACUCAAAGAUGAUCCCGCGUUGUAUUAGCUAGUUGGUGAGGUAAAGGCUCACCAAGGGGAUGAUACAUAGCCGACCUGAGAGGGGAAUAGGCCACAUUGAGACUGAGACACGGCCAAAACUCCUAGGGAGGGCGGCAGUGGGGAAUUUUGGGAAAUGGAGGAAAGUCUGACCGAGCAACGCCGCGUGGGUGAAGAGGGUUUUGGGAUCGUAAAACUCUGUUGGUAGAGAAGAACGUUGGUGGGAGUGAAAAGCUCAUCAAGUGACGGUAACUACACAGAAAGGGACGGCGAACUACG